UGCUAUGCUUCGAUCCAUUGACUUCAGCGUUAACCCAUGCGAUGAUUUCUAUUCCUUCGCAUGCGGAGGUCUGUACAAUUCGCCCAACCAUACCGAUCCUUCUCUGUACCCUCUACCAAGAAUGAAGGCAAAGAGUCAAGAAAACGUCGAUGCCAUAUUUCGAGAGCUGCCCGACAUCAACGAAUCCCGCAAUGCUGAGGAGAAAGUCGCCGUGGCCUAUCACGUCUGCAUUAACAGCCGCGUCGCGCACCAAGCGAAACGCCGACAGCCCCGUUAAAACAAGCGAAGCCAGCCGCAGUGCACGUGCCCGCCCUGCAUGCACACGAGCUCCGACCGAGGGGCCAGCGCG